UUCUCUUGUCCUUCAUUCCACCGGAGUCUGUCUCAUACCCAACCAGAUUUCAGUGGAGUGAAGCUCAGGAGGCG
rnacentral:pre_miRNA from 1 species